CCUGUAUGCGCUGAUUAUCCCUUUGUUCCCUUCCUCUAAUGAUACAGAAAAUGAGAAAACUCUAAUAAAGGUUGUAACCUGAAGCACUAUCAAACAAAGAGGUGAUUGUAGCUGAGCCUAGGACUCACCUGCCUCGGCAAGAUGUGGUGUUCUCUGGAGUACUGAUUUCUUAUCUGUAGAUCAUGAGCUGGAGACCUGUCCAGAUGUCAUGCAAGUUAUUUCUAUUGGUUGAAUGGCAGUGUGUAGAAUGGGAGAUCCCCUUGUGAAGUUUCUUCCAAGAACUAAAUAUAAAUUCCAUUAAUUCAUGCUUAUCAGAGAAUGUGAAGGUUAACUAGUUAUGUGCUUUAACUUUUAAAAACCCAGUCUGGGGCAGUUUAAAGAGACCUAACACUGAAAUAAAAUAAAAUCCUCAUCACCUUAAAUUUGGUGUUUUUAAGGUAAAUUGUAUUGAGUCAUCAGUUCCUUUGGAAAAGUGGAUUAUUCUAAAAUGUUGGAACAGCUCCCUUAUUUUCAUCAAAUGGUCAUAACCAGAAUACAAGAGGAAUUCCAUAAAAAUUAUCCAGAUGAAGGAGAAUAGAAACUGACUUAAAAUAUUGGCUUAAUGCUGGGUGAGUUUAAUGCUACCCAUCUGUUACGUUCAUUUGUAUGCUGGAGCAGCGCUGACAAGCCUCCUGUUGUUGCUGGUACAAUUUGUGUCAUCCAACCAGAUUUGACCAGAAGUUUGAAUGCAAAAGUGAAGAUUUUUUGUAACUUUAUAAUCCUGAGUUUUGCAGCUCUGUUCAACAAAAAGUCAUAUUUAU